AACAAGGUUCUCAUACGAUCCCCGAAGUUAAGCAACGUACAGCCAGGUCAGUAUCUAGAUGGGUGACCGCUGGGGUAUGCCAGGUGCUGCAAG